GGGGCCCCAGCGGAGACUUGUCGAACCCUGCUCAAGCAGAACGACCCGCGAACACGUGAAAACAACCAUGCUGGGGACCGGAGAGGGGUGCGAGCCCCCGACCGACCCUCCGCCGUGCUGCGGAUCCGGCCGCGUGCGGUCGACCGCGGUACGGCACAAUCAAAAAACCCGGCGCAACAGGCGUCAAGGAAAUCUUAGCGGAAACGAGGCGGAGUCCCGCUCGCGGGGCGAUGCCAAGAAUCCGAUACCUGAACGACUCUCGGCAACGGAUAUCUCGGCUCUUGCAUCGAUGAAGAACGUAGCGAAAUGCGAUACUUGGUGUGAAUUGCAGAAUCCCGUGAACCAUCGAGUCUUUGAACGCAAGUUGCGCCCGAGGCCUUCUGGUCGAGGGCACGUCUGCCUGGGCGUCACGCACAGCGUCGCCCCCAGCCACACCCGUUGUGGUCGGGGAGCGGAGAUUGGCCCCCCGAGCCCUCGCGGGCACGGCCGGCCCAAAUGAUGGUCCUUGGCGGCGGUCGCCGCGGUCAAGUGGUGGCUUCAAAUACCAUUUCGGUGACCGGUUGGCAUCGCGGCCCGAGUUGGGACCGAAUCGACCCGCAGAGGCCGUUCCGACGGUUUUUCACCCUGCGACCCCAGGUCAGGCGGGAUUACCCGCUGAAUUUAAGCAUAUCAAUAGGCGGGAGGAAACUGGGGGUCGAUUCGGGUCCCAAUUCGGGCCGAUGUGACCGGGGACAAAAUGGUGUUUUUUGAACCCUUUACUGGGGCGCCGCACCGCCAACAAGUUUUUCUUUUCGGGCCGCCGGGCCUCGAGGGCACGUGCGUCCACACUACUACUUCACGUGCAGGAUGGGUGUGGUUGGGGGUCACGAUGGACAUGACCUCAAGGAUGACGUGGCCGUCUCCAGAUGG
rnacentral:rRNA from 1 species